CGUGUAGGCGGUCAGGUAAGUGGAAUGUGAAAUGCCCCGGCUCACCCGGGGACCGGCAUCCCAAACUGCCUGGCUUGAGUAUGGGAGAGGAUGGAGGAAUUCCUGGUGUAGCGGUAAAAUGCGUAGAUAUCAGGAGGAACACCGGUGGCGAAGGCGUCCAUCUGGCCCAAUACUGACGCUGAGGCGCGAAAGCUAGGGGAGCAAACG
rnacentral:rRNA from 1 species